GACGAACGCUGGCGGCGUGCUUAACACAUGCAAGUCGAACGGAAAGGCCCUGCUUUUGUGGGGUGCUCGAGUGGCGAACGGGUGAGUAACACGUGAGUAACCUGCCCUUGACUUUGGGAUAACUUCAGGAAACUGGGGCUAAUACAGGAUAGGAGCUCCUGCUGGAUGGAGGGGGUUGGAAAGUUUCGGCGGGUGGGGAUGGACUCGCGGCUGAUGAGCUUGUUGGUGGGGUAGUGGCUUACCAAGGCUUUGGCGGGUAGCCGGCCUGAGAGGGUGACCGGCCUCAUUGGGCCUGAGGUACGGCCCAGACUCCUACGGGAGGCAGCAGUGGGGAAUAUUGCCCAAUGGGCGGAAGCCUGAUGCAGCAACGCCGCGUUCGGGAUGACGGCCUUCGGGUUGUAAACCGCUUUCGCCUGUGACGAAGCGUGAGUGACGGUAAUGGGUAAAGAAGCACCGGCUAACUACGUG
rnacentral:rRNA from 1 species